UGGUUCAGGCAUGCAAGUCGAACGGUCCCGCAAGGGACAGUGGCAGAAGGGUUAGUAACACGUGGGUAAUCUACCCUCGAGGCGGGGAUAACACUUCGAAAGAAGUGCUAAUACCCGAUGACAUUCCGAUGUCAUAAGAUGUCGGUAUCAAAGGUGGCUCGCAAGGGCUGCCGCUUGAGGAGGAGCCCGCGGCCUAUCAGCUUGUUGGUGAGGUAACGGCUCACCAAGGCUUUUGACGGGUAGCUGGUCUAAGAGGACGAUCAGCAACAUUGGGACUGAGACACUGCCCAGACUCCUACGGGAGGCUGCAGUCGAGGAUCUUUAGCAAUGCCCGAAAGGGUGACUAUGGGACGCCGCGUGCAGGAUGAAGGCCCUUGGGUUGUAAACUGC
rnacentral:rRNA from 1 species